rnacentral:lncRNA from 1 species
AGCUGCCAGAGAAUGAAGCAGAGGGCUGUGGGGUGAAGGGACUGCCAGUCUUCUGCCACUCCUUUUCGUGGUCCUUCCCUUCACUGCCUUCCUUCUCCCAGACAGACUGGGCAUCCAGUUCCAAUCCAAAGGCUGCCCCUUUGACCAGGCCCAUCUUCUCCACCUCACAUCAGACAGCCAAUCGGCUGCCCAGACCUCGAAACCUCAGUAACCUAGAAGGAAAUGGACCUUGGCAAACGUGUGUCAGGAGAGGAUGACUUGGAGGUGUCCACCGUGUUUCUUACUGAAGGCACGGAGUCCAGGGACACCCCCUGCUGCUGCCUAAGAGAAAGUGGCCCAAGAAGCACUGGCCCGGUGCCUGCUGAUGCCAGGAGCCCUCUGCUACUGCCUGACACAAGCAUCCUGCGCUUCCCCCUCCCAGGCCCUCCCCGAAAGCGUGGGCCACAGGUACCACUCCCUAUGCCACUGAGCCCCACAUUUCCCAUCCCCCAAGCCACUCCCACCAGCCCCAGAGCUUUCCUACAUUUAUGAUUUGUCCAAAAAUGUGAUGCCCUUCAGCCCCCAGAAGGUCAUCCUCCAGGCUGUGAUCGUCACACAGGGGGUCCCACAUGGGGUCCUCACAGGCCUUCAACCCAGCACAAAUCGUGGCCUGGUUUGACCUUUGAAAUAUCUCAACAUCUAAAAUUCAG